AGGAGGGUGGCGGGUGCGAGAUAUCGCAGCGUCGUCAAAAUGGCAUCUAACGCCACUGACCACAUACCGUGGCGCGAUUCGUACUCUGGAUAUUCCGGGAUCGUGCACAGACCUGAAAUAAAUAGUCUUUAAAUAGAAAAGACUGCCGCCCUCGUACGUCAGUGCCGUGAGUGGUCCGUGGACAGAGCUGCCGUGCCGGAUAUGCGAGACACUUAAGUUUUCGGGAGAGGGGCUUACCAGUUUCACCACGACAGCUGAAAGUUGAACAGCCCGGAUGCCAACUGCUACUCGAGCGGCUGCGAAGAAGACCUAACAACUCAAGAGCAGCUGCUUCGCGAAUGAAUCUAUUACCGGAUCGGAAUCGCGAACCGCUAAGAAGAUCCGGCGAGAACCUCAGCGGGCUGAUGUAUGGGUUGGGUUGCACGUCGAACUCUUUGCCGAGUUGGACGUGCGGUUACCCGGGUUCCUAAGCCUGCUCCUAGUGUUAGAGCUGAAGGCGUCUAAUAUAAGAGUUGUUGGAAAAAAAAAAGGUAUAAUUUCAAGAAACAACUGUGAUUUGUAUUAACCUUCACCGCAACAAGGAAAAAAACUAAUUAAAAAUAAAAACAAUUGGCCUAUUAAACUAAUACUACACUUAAUGUUAGUACCACGGCUUAGUGUAUGCGGGUAAGAUAUUUGAUUUCACCAGUAUUUUCGGAAUAAAACUCAUUGUCACCCAGGUGGUGCGUGAAAACUCAUUAAUCCAAAAUUUAUCUACAAUGAACCGUUAAUUAUAACUGGGUCAGAAUGCUGUGAGAUCCGUGCACACAGUGCAGCGAACGUUCAGUUGGUUUACUGUUGUUGACAAAAAGAAACAGAUAUAAACAUUUUAUGUAACGCAAUUAUAAUUAGUACUUGAUUAUUGUUGGUUUAUCUAAUUGUAUCCGUUUAUUUAAAUGUGGAUAUUUUAUCUGGUGAUUUUGCCGGUAUGAAAUAAUAACUUAAAUCAGUUCCUGUGACUAAUGUUUUCUUAUUUUUCUCGGGAUAAUUUUUUUAAAUGUACAGUCGAAUUAAAGUGUUCGUAAAUCAAUGACAUAAUUAACUAGUCUCAGUUCUUUAGUACCCACCCAUAGCUGGUUCAAAGAUCCUAAUUACAUCGUUAACUGAAUUAAAUUCUAUGGACUAUUUGUUCGCGAUUGACUUCCACGGUGAAGGAAUAAAAUCGUGUAAUAAAAAUCAAACCCGCAAAAUUAUAAUUGGCGUAAUUACUGGUGGUAGGACCUCUUGUGAGUCCGCACGGGUAGGUACCACCACCCCGCCUUUUUCGCCGUGAAGCAGUAAUGCGUUUCGGUUUGAAGGGUGGGGGCAGCCGUUGUAACUAUACUGAGACCUUAGAACUUAUAUCUCAAGGUGGGUAGCGCAUUUACGUUGUAGAUGUCUGUGUCUAGUACCCACUUAACACCAGGUGGGCCGUGAGCUCGUCCACCCAUCUAAGCAAUAAAAUAAAAAAAACAUCCGCAAAGAGUGUAACAUAAAUAGCAUUACUGCAAGGUCGUUGCACUAGGUGUAUUCUUUCACAAACACGUACUGUGACAACGGUAAUCCAAUAGUUGGUGAGAGUAAAAAGCGAUCGAGCGAGCCCAGGCACGCUUACUUUGUACAAUACAAGCUACAAGCGAAAGCGGUUAGAGGUAAAGAUGUUUUUGUGCCUAUCUAUUGCUACUUUUUUUAAUGACCUUGUAGGCAAACGAUCAUACGGCCCAUCUGAUAGUGACUGGUUACCGUCGCCCAUGGACGUGAGCAAUGCCGGGGGCAUAGUCAAGCUGCUGCUUGCCAAAACUAGCUGGCUAAAGCUAGUAAUCUCGAGGGAUUAUGCUAUUAUACCAUCAUUUGUUUUCUUAAAGUCACCACUGAAUAAUUAGUCUGUUUUGUUAUCAUAUUAAACCCCGUGGAAGUAAAGAACUACUUAAACAUACAUGGUUAAAUAAUUUUGUAAUGUAAUCAUACAUAAUAUUUGAUUUAAAAAAUAUAUUUUAUGUAUUCUAUUUAGCAACAUCUGAUCAAACUAAAGUCAAACAAAAUGGAUACGUUUUUAAGUUCAUUCGUAUCUUUAAAUUGCUUAUAAAAUUAACCUUAAGCUCUUGUGACUCAGUCUACAAACAUAAAAUGACUGGAGGCAUCGAAGGUCAAAGAAAUGCAGUAAGCACAGAGACGUAUUCGCGAUCAUUGAGAAACACUGUGAUAUUCGAUUAGUCACUUAUAAACAAAUGGUACUUCGUGAAUUUUAACGUUUUUAUUUUUUAUUGUUAUUGGAACGAAGUUCCUUAUGGGACGAUGCGGAGGGGUAACCUAACCGGAAAAAAACGUCCGUAACGUAAGAUUUUUAUUAUUUAUGUAUAGUCUUAGUAUGAUGGCUAUACAGUGUCUAAUAUAUAGUCUACGUGAUGACGGUUAUUAUUAUUAUUCAAAUAAAUAGCUGUUUCUUUGUAUAUUAUUAUUAUAGAUUUUUUAUAAAUCAUUGUGAAUAAAAUAAAGUUAAUAGCUUUGUAAA